AGGCCUACGGGACGCAGCAGUGGGGAAUAUUGGGCAAUGGGCGCAAGCCUGACCCAGCAACGCCGCGUGAAGGAAGAAGGCUUUCGGGUUGUAAACUUCUUUUGUCAGGGACGAAGCAAGUGACGGUACCUGACGAAUAAGCCACGGCUAACUACGUGCCAGCAGCCGCGGUAAUGCGUAGGCGGCAAGCGUUAUCCGGAUUUAUUGGGUGUAAAGGGCGUGUAGGUGGGAAUGUAAGUCAGAUGUGAAA
rnacentral:rRNA from 1 species